UCGGGAAUUUUGGGCAAUGGGCGAAAGCCUGACCCAGCAACGCCGCGUGAAGGAUGAAGUAUUUCGGUAUGUAAACUUCGUAAGAAUAGGAAGAAUAAAUGACGGUACUAUUUGUAAGGUCCGGCUAACUACGUGCCAGCAGCCGCGGUAAUACGUAGGGACCAAGCGUUGUUCGGAUUUACUGGGCGUAAAGGGCGCGUAGGCGGUGUGUCAAGUCAGUUGUGAAAUCUCCGAGCUUAACUCGGAACGGUCAACUGAUACUGUCACACUAGAGUACAGAAGGGGCAAUCGGAAUUCUUGGUGUAGCGGUGAAAUGCGUAGAUAUCAAGAGGAACACCUGAGGCGAAGGCGGGUUGCUGGGCUGAUACUGACGCUGAGGCGCGAAAGCUAGGGUAGCAAACGGGAUUAGAUACCCAUGUAGUCCCUGAG
rnacentral:rRNA from 1 species